AGGAAACCUGGGGUCUUGGGACAAAAGGACAAUCCAGGAAAAAAAACCUCAGCAAUGUCCUAAUCACAUGAUGCUAACAUGGGAGGGAGCUUACAAAGUUCUUUCACAUCCAUUCCUCGGUUCUUAUAACAGCCUCAUGAGUGGGCAGGGCAGGGUUUAUAAUUCUCUUUUUACAAGUGAAGGAACUCAGGCUCAGAGCUGGCAGGACUUGUCUCCAAGUUCUCAGGGGAGUCUGGAUUAGAACCCAGGGCUCUGGAUUGGCCCAAGCCACCCCAGGAACUAGACUAGAGGCUACCACUGUUUGGCCCACACCCCUUUACCACUGCCACACCCAGGAAAAACAAGGUCCCGUAGAACAGCCGUGUAGCACCAUUCAGAACUGCCCUCUGCCCCGUGCCAAGCAGAAAAAGUGUGAGGUCUGCGAGUCAUCCUGCUACAGCCGGAGACUCAGCCUGAACCAGUCAGCGUGAAUGUGAGACCCUGCGAACAUGGAGGCCGGUAAAGAGGGGGAAUUUCAUGCGGAGAAGAGCAGCCUGUUCACUUCUAACUCUGGGAGGGGCCUCCGUUAUCGUCUCUGUUUCUCCAAGAUUUUACAGCUGGUAAGAGACACCAUUUUCUGAAAAGGACAAAUGGAAAGAGUGGCUUGAAUCGAAGUACUCCCAGAUGGCCACAGUGGCAAGCUUUGUCCCCAGGCUUCCCACCCACAGCUCUGCACCACCUCUCCUGCACCUGCCACUGUCCAUACCAGGGGCACUGGCAAGCCAGGCACUUCAGUAGUCUUGGAAUGGAAUGCACUCAAGAGUCCUGCAGGGCAUCACUGUUAGUUCCACCCGUGAUACUUGUUCUAGUCAGCCAAACUGUUUUUCUUAAACUAGUUUGAAUUUCAGUUAUGUUACCCAAAGAAUCAUGAUUAAUGUAGCCGUGCCAUGUAUUAUUCAAUAUUUUUCUUUUACUAAACAAUGUAAGGAAAAAAAGCAGGAAAGAGCCAGCAAUGUAAGGAGAAUGUACUGGCUUUGAGAUAUUGUCAAAAUCCUAUUCUAAUUCUUUUAAAUAAACUGUUAUUGUUGUUGUUGUUGUUGAGACGGACUCUCGUUCUGUCACUCAGGCUGGAAUGCACUGGUGCAAUUUCAGCUCACUGCAACCUCCGCCUCCUGGGUUCAAGCGAUUCUUGUGUCUCAGCCUUCCAAGUAGCUGGGACUACAGGUGUGUGCCACCACACCCAGCUAAUUUUUUAUAUUUUUAGUAGAGACGGGGUUUCGCCCUGUUGUCCCGGCUGGUCUCAAACCCCUGAGCUCAAAUGGUCUGCCCACCUUGGCCUCCCAAAGUGCUAGGAUUACAGGUGUGAGUCACCAUGCCCAGCCUAAAUCAACUUUUUUUGAGGUGUAAACAUAUGUACAAUAAAACUCAGUGUUUUAAAGCAUACAGGUUGAUAAGUUUUGAUAAAUGUAUACACCCAUGUAACUACCACCUCAAUGAAGAUACAGAACAUUUCUAUCUUCCCACAAAGUUUCCUGGUGUCCCUGUGCACAAUUGCCUCUGUUCAACCACUCUUCUGAUUUCUAUCACUAUAGCUUAGUUUUGCCUGUUUUAGGAUAUCACAUAAAUGGAAGCAUAUAAUAUGUAUUCCUUUUUACCUUUUUUUUACUCAGCAUAAUUGUUUCAAGAUUCAUUCAUCUUGUGUAUCAAUAGUUCAUUUUUAUUGGAGUGUAGUAUUAUCUGGGUAUGACACAAUUGCUUAUCCAUUCACCUGUUGAUGAAUAUUUGACAGGGGCUAUUAUAAAUACAAGUGGUAUGAACAUAUGUAUACAAGUCUGUGUGUGUGUAUCACACACAAUUUAUUCUGGAUAAAUACAUAGGAAUGGAAUUGCUGGGCUAUAUAUGCUUAACUGUAUAGGAAACUGCCAAAUUGUUUUUCAAAGUGGUUGUACCAUUUUAUAUUCUCAAUGGUGUAUGAGAAGUCCAGUUCCUCCAUAUCUUCAUCAUCUGAUCUUGGAAUUGUCUUCAAACUUUAACCAUUCAGUGGGUGUGAAGUGGAAUCUCACUGCAGUUUUAAUUUGCUCUGGUGACUCAUGUUGUUGAACAUUUUUUUUCUUGAGUUUAUUGACCUUUUUGUAUAGCUUCUUUCAUAAAGCACCAUUCAAAUUUUG
rnacentral:lncRNA from 10 species